AAGUCGUAACAAGGUCUCCGUUGGUGAACCAGCGGAGGGAUCAUUACUGAGUACUACACUCUCUACCCUUUGUGAACUAUUAUACCUGUUGCUUCGGCGGCGCCCGCAAGGGUGCCCGCCGGUCUCAUCAGAAUCUCUGUUUUCGAACCCGACGAUACUUCUGAGUGUUCUUAGCGAACUGUCAAAACUUUUAACAACGGAUCUCUUGGCUCCAGCAUCGAUGAAGAACGCAGCGAAACGCGAUAUGUAAUGUGAAUUGCAGAAUUCAGUGAAUCAUCGAAUCUUUGAACGCACAUGGCGCCUUCCAGUAUCCUGGGAGGCAUGCCUGUCCGAGCGUCGUUUCAACCCUCGAGCCCCUGUGGCCCGGCGUUGGGGAUCUGCCACGGCAGGCCCCUAAAACCAGUGGCGGACCCGAAGGGCCCUCUCCUUUGCGCAGUAGCAUUCGCCUCGCAUCGGGAGUCCUCGGCGUCCUGCCUCUAAACCCCCACAAGCCCGCUUCGGCGGCACUAAGGUUGACCUCGGAUCAGGUAGGAAUACCCGCUGAACUUAA
rnacentral:rRNA from 1 species